GACGUAGGGAGCGAGCGUUGUCCGGAUUAAUUGGGCGUAAAGAGCGCGUAGGCGGUUUGGUAAGUCGGAUGUGAAAAUCCGUGGGCUCAAUCCCGGACCUGCAUCCGAAACUGCCCGACUAGAGGUAGGUAGGGGAGAUCGGAAUUCCUGGUGUAGCGGUGAAAUGCGCAGAUAUCAGGAGGAACACCGGUGGCGAAGGCGGAUCUCUGGGCCUUACCUGACGCUGAGGCGCGAAAGCUAGGGGAGCGAACAGG
rnacentral:rRNA from 1 species